UACGUAGGGGGGCAAGCGUUGUCCGGAAUCAUUGGGCGUAAAGAGCGUGUAGGCGGCCCGGUAAGUCCGCUGUGAAAGUCCAGGGCUCAACCCUGGGAUGCCGGUGGAUACUGUCGGGCUCGAGUCCGGAAGAGGAGUGUGGAAUUCCUGGUGUAGCGGUGAAAUGCGCAGAUAUCAGGAGGAACACCAAUGGCGAAGGCAGCACUCUGGGACGUGACUGACGCUGAGACGCGAAAGCGUGGGGAGCAAACAGGG
rnacentral:rRNA from 1 species